AAACUACAUUAAAAAUAUUACUAUUUAAGAAAAAAAAAAAUCACCAACAGGUCACUUUGCCUCUGCUGUUUAUUCAGCAAAACACAGUUUAAAUACCACCACAUGGCAACCCAAGAGUCGGUCAUUUCAAAUAAAAUGCACCUCAGACAGGAUGUCACAGAGGGAUGUCUGCAGUCUACACAGAAUGAUCAAGCAUGGAUUUACAUGUAGCCAGUUCUAAGUAGUACAUUUUUUUUGUAAUCUGAAAACCAAUAAUAAU